AUAGAUGUAUGGGGACGCGCAGUGUGGUGCCCGUGGAAAUAGUCGCACUGUUCUUCUCUUUCUCUUCGGGGGUUGGAAGGAACAAUUGUCGAUCAGUCGGGUUUCGGAGCGUGCACACUGGUACCCGAAAGAUGGUGAACUAUGCUUGAGCAGAAUGAAGCCAGAGGAAACUCUGGUGGAAGUUCGUAGCGGUGUUGACGUGCAAAUCACUCGUCUGACUUGAGUGUAGGGGCGAAAGACUAAUCGAACCAUCUAGUUGCUGGUUCCUUCCGAAGUUUCCCUCAGGAUAGCUGGCAUUUGUUUGUAACAAUUUUAUCCGGUAGAGCGAAUGAUUAGAGGUGUUGGGAACGCAAUGUUCUCAGCCUAUUCUCAAACUUCGAAUGGGUAAGCAAGGCGUUUUGCUUUGAUUUUACGAUGAAAUCGCCCAAUUAGAAUGUAUAAAUGCCUAGUGGGCCAAUUUUGGUAAGCAGAACUGGCGAUGUGGAAUGAACCAAAAGUCAGGUUAAGGUGCCAGACAUUGGCGCUCAUGAAAUACCAGAAAAGGUGUUGGUCGAUAUAGACAGCAGGACGGUGG
rnacentral:ncRNA from 1 species